AGGGCACCACCAGGAGUGGAGCCUGCGGCUUAAUUUGACUCAACACGGGAAAACUCACCCGGCCCGGACACUGGAAGGAUUGACAGAUUGAGAGCUCUUUCUUGAUUCAGUGGGUGGUGGUGCAUGGCCGUUCUUAGUUGGUGGAGUGAUUUGUCUGGUUAAUUCCGAUAACGAACGAGACUCUAGCCUACUAAAUAGAUCGUCGGCUUACAAACGCCGGCGAGACUUCUUAGAGGGACAGGCGGUGAUUCAACCGCACAAAACAGAGCAAUAACAGGUCUGUGACGCCCUUAGAUGUCCGGGGCCGCACGCGCGCUACACUGAAGUGAUCAGCGUGCUUUUUCAACCUACUCUGUCAAGAGUGGGGAACCCAAUGAACCUUCUUCGUGAUUGGGAUAGGGGAUUGUAAUUAUUCCCCUUGAACGAGGAAUUCCCAGUAAGCGCGAGUCAUAAGCUCGCGUUGAUUACGUCCCUGCCCUUUGUACACACCGCCCGUCGCUACUACCGAUUGAAUGUUUU
rnacentral:rRNA from 1 species